AGGGGUGUAGCUCAGCUGGUCAGAGCGCUGGUCUCCAAAACCAGAUGUCGCAGGUUCGAAUCCUGCCGCCCCUG
rnacentral:tRNA from 2 species